rnacentral:rRNA from 1 species
AGUUUGAUCAUGGCUCAGGAUGAACGCUGGCGGCGUGCUUAACACAUGCAAGUCGAACGGUGAAGCCAAGCUUGCUUGGUGGAUCAGUGGCGAACGGGUGAGUAACACGUGAGCAACCUGCCCUGGACUCUGGGAUAAGCGCUGGAAACGGCGUCUAAUACUGGAUAUGAGCCCCUAUCGCAUGGUGGGGGUUGGAAAGAUUUUUUGGUCUGGGAUGGGCUCGCGGCCUAUCAGCUUGUUGGUGAGGUAAUGGCUCACCAAGGCGUCGACGGGUAGCCGGCCUGAGAGGGUGACCGGCCACACUGGGACUGAGACACGGCCCAGACUCCUACGGGAGGCAGCAGUGGGGAAUAUUGCACAAUGGGCGAAAGCCUGAUGCAGCAACGCCGCGUGAGGGAUGACGGCCUUCGGGUUGUAAACCUCUUUUAGCAGGGAAGAAGCGAAAGUGACGGUACCUGCAGAAAAAGCGCCGGCUAACUACGUGCCAGCAGCCGCGGUA